UCACUUUGUUGAGGUUGGACGAAGCCGAUUUGAUUAGUAGUGACCGCAGAUUCGAUCAGGCUUUGAUCCGUCGUGUGAGAGAGGAAAACGUUUCACGCACCACAAGUGUGUUAUCUGUUUUCUUUUUGAUCUAAAAUUAGAAUAUGGGGAAUGAUAGUUGAGCUGAUUCAUGGUCGCAUUUUGAAACUGAAGGCGUUUUCUUGGUUCUUCAUGGAAGCCAGUUUUAGGUUUGGAAACAUGGGCCUUUGGCCCAAGAAAAUUCGUGUUCGUACACCUCACUCCC
rnacentral:lncRNA from 1 species